GUUUUAGUAUAAAUAUGUCUCAAGCAGUAUUUGGGAUAUAAUUACACUAAAA
rnacentral:pre_miRNA from 1 species